CGGCGAACAGCCUGUGAUGCC
rnacentral:miRNA from 1 species